UACGAAGGGGGCUAGCGUUGCUCGGAAUCACUGGGCGUAAAGCGCACGUAGGCGGAUUGCUAAGUCAGGGGUGAAAUCCUGGAGCUCAACUCCAGAACUGCCUUUGAUACUGAAGAUCUUGAGUUCGGGAGAGGUGAGUGGAACUGCGAGUGUAGAGGUGAAAUUCGUAGAUAUUCGCAAGAACACCAGUGGCGAAGGCGGCUCACUGGCCCGAUACUGACGCUGAAGCACGAAAGCGUGGGGAGCAAACAGG
rnacentral:rRNA from 1 species